UACGUAGGGGGCAAGCGUUGUCCGGAAUCGUUGGGCGUAAAGAGCGUGUAGGCGGUCCGGUAAGUCCGCUGUGAAAGUCAGGGGCUCAACCCUUGAAUGCCGGCGGAAACUGCCGGACUAGAGUCCGGAAGAGGCGAGUGGAAUUCCUGGUGUAGCGGUGAAAUGCGCAGAUAUCAGGAGGAACACCAACGGCGAAGGCAGCUCGCUGGGACGGUACUGACGCUGAGGAGCGAAAGCGUGGGGAGCGAACAGG
rnacentral:rRNA from 1 species